GCAAGUCGAGCGGUAACAGAUCCAGCUUGCUGGAUGCUGACGAGCGGCGGACGGGUGAGUAAUGCAUAGGAAUCUGCCCGAUAGUGGGGGAUAACCUGGGGAAACCCAGGCUAAUACCGCAUACGUCCUACGGGAGAAAGGGGGCUCCGGCUCCCGCUAUGGGAUGAGCCUAUGUCGGAUUAGCUAGUUGGUGAGGUAACGGCUUACCAAGGCCACGAUCCGUAGCUGGUCUUAGAGGAUGACC
rnacentral:rRNA from 1 species